CAACAGCAGUUGCAUCACCGCUGAUGCCUCUCCCCCCACCCCACCCCACUCCAAACCACGACUGUCUAAAGGCCUCUAUUUAGAGAGGCUCUGUGCAGCGGGGACAAAGCCUUUACAUGGAUAAAGGAGGGAGGAGUGAGGAACGCAGGCCCCAAAAGAAAGAAUGAAAGAAAAACAGAAAGGACUAGAAGAUCUGAAAAAGAUGAGAUUAUGUCUCUCCUCAGAGCUGCACCUCACUCUGCUGAGGGAUAAAUCAAAACUGAACAGAAACGUAAUAUUUUGUGAAGCAGAAGCAGAUUUCAACUUUACAACUUCUGGGUGUUGUCACCGAUUUAGAUUUAAAGGCGCAGAUACGUCCUACAAGUACGGACGCAAUUAAAAAGCACCGUAGGUUGGUCUGGCCUACAACAAUUCACUUCCCACCAGAUAUAACGUUAUUACCUAGUGGCAACAAAUUAAACCAAUAAAUCAGCCCGUACACUUCCAGAUAUCCCCAAUUUAUAACUUUCUCGCUAUGCAAAUGACUGAAACUGUAAUUAAACAUUUUAUUUAAUAACGUGGACCGGCAGUAAAAUUAAAAGGCAAUAAAAAAGCAAUCAAAGAAAUACUUUUGCCAAAAAAAAAAAAAAAAAAAAUUUCUAAAGAGUUCAGGGAACACACAAAAGCCUAUAUAUUAAAUAUUCACACUCACAAAUCAUUUUCAGCCAUGUUAAUUUAUUCAACAAAAUAAAAUUAAAAAGUUCACACAAGGACACAUGUCAAAUGUGCAGACGGGAACAUGAGAACAAUGCAGAGACACGCAGGAGGAUUCAGGUGCUAACUGCAUCGGGUUCGGUUCUCUCUGACCCGGAAUGGAUUGUUUUAUCAUCCAUGUGUUGGUUGACGGCGUUCCUAAACAUUUUUAUGGUUGCUAUGACCACAGUUUUUUUUUAGGUGUCCAGAGUGGACAAUUUGAAUCUGUAUUUCUUUUUUAAAUACUAAAAUACUGCAAGUUAAAACUGUAUUUGGUUGAGAAAGUUUGAUAAAUACAACCAUAUAUGCCUAAUGUAUCAAUUCUGAUACCAAACAGACAGAAAUUAAAGGCAACUUUUUGUAAGAAGCAUCGAGUAAAGAGUUCAAAUGAAAACUAUUACUUUCUGAAUAUUAUCUUUUGCCUAAUGCUUUGAAAGGUGCAUUUUAUCAUAGCUAAGAAAUGAUAGACGAUAACUUGUCCCAGAAGAUAUCGCGAUAAACGAUAGUCUUGUUGUUUUGAGACCACCUUCAAGGAAUAUAAUGGUGACGGCAUGACAAUGCAAGAACACAUUCCCAAAAAUCAAUAAACUUUAAAUUUUAAUGAACAUUUAACACUGGAAGACAUUUUGAAUAUCCGAAAUAAGUAAAGAAAACAACAGAAACAACAAAUAAGAUGAAUCGUGAAGAUUCUAUAAACAAAAUUGUCCGUCAAAAAAUGGCAUCAAACUGAAGACCAAUUUUGGUAGAAGGAAAGAGAGAAAAAAUAAAUCAUUGACAGUUUUUUUUUAUUUACCAUGCGACUAAUUGAUUUAUUGUUUAUUGUGAGGCCUAAAUAUAGUCGUCUUUAUCUCAAUAGCACAGAACGCAUCGUUUUUUCCCCUGUUUUUGAUUGGAUCAAAUGUACAGUGAUAAAUGUUGCAUAGUUUUUUUUAAGGCAAACUAAAAAUCUCUGGUUGGGAAAGUUCGAUAAAUACAACCACAUAUGCCUAAUGUAUCAAUUAUGAUACAAACAAACAGGUUAAAGGCGACCGUUCAACUUUUAGUACAGAGAAUCAAAUGCAGAUUUCAAAUUAGAACUACAUUGCUUUCUGAAUACAAUUUAUUGGAUCAGACAUUAAAAGGUUGACUAUAUUUACAGCUACAAACUGCAAUAAUUUACUACAUUAUUAUUUUAAAGGCGUGUGUUGACAAAAAAUGACAAGAAAUGCAAAUAUGCUGUAAAUUCCUAGUACCUGUCAUAAAUUAAAUACAACUUUAUAGCGAGCAUAAACAUCAUUACGAUGUUUACAGCAGUAAUACACACACACUCUGUGAUUUAAAGUGGAUAAUGAGGAUCAAGAGAGUCACGCACACAAAAUGGUCCUAUUCCACGUAAAGCCGAGCUCUUUAAUGAAAGAUUUGUGAUUGGGCCUUUAAUGGAUCUCAUUUCAUAGGCUAAUAAUCCUUUAUGGAUGUGGCUCCAGCUGCACUGGCGGCUCACGAAGCCACCAGGAUUUAAGUUAUGCCGCGAAAAGUUUCCGGGCACGGCUCGGUCAUUCAUUCUGCUAAUAUUCCACAUUAUUGUGGCGUAACAUUGAGAUCGGCCAAAUCAAAAGAACAUUGUGGUAAUUAGGCUGUAAUUCGAGGAAUUACCACAUCGCCACACAGGCUUAAACAGUCGUGUUGGGAGAAACGCGAAGCACAUUAUUUUAAUGGCGUAAUAUGCAAACUACGGCUCGUUUCAAUUACACGGCUUAACAAUGCAUAAAUGAUGCGAGCCUUGUUAUUUGGACUUCGGGGUCUGCUGUUAUUCAGUCGCUCGGAAGGGCCAACGAUGGGGGCCCUCCUCCCAGGCACCGGGGUGCCGAGCCGCUGCCAAGCUACAUUUAAGGGAGCGAAAUGAACGGUGGGGAAUGUAAGCGUUAAAUUAACAGUAGGAUAAUUAUAUGACCCGUGUGCUGUAAAGAUUCAAUUUCUAACACUCUAAUUAGGCGACUGUCUCCCCCAUACAUCAGCUCACGUCCCUCUGCCAGUUUCUCACCCGAAAACGUCCUGCGAGCGGAAAUAAUUAGAUUUUAUUAAGACACGGCUCGGGUAAUAAAGGAAAUCAAAGGCUAGGGCUGGUUGGAUAUGAAAUGUUUUCAGAAUCGCCGACUUCCUUCCUCACACGACUCGGCCCAGAGAGUCCAAGGUGGAGGCUUUUUAAAUAUGGAGCAACUAGACUGUGAUUGGACUGUGGAGUCCAUGAACAGACUAACACUUCUAUCUUACAUAAUGGGAAGGCGGCCGACCCACGCCUUUCAUCUGUACUGUAAUUGUUGUGUGCAUCAAAGAUGGAGAGAUUGACGGAGCUGCAUGGGAGGAUUAAUACAGUGGAGCUUCACCGAGUGGUUCUGAUUGGUCCGUCUUCGUGGUGACACCCUUUGAGUCUCAUCAUGGUCAGCGUCAUCUCUGAGGAGCUGCUGCUGGUUGGACAUCCUGCUUCGUGUCGUUUCAAAUCACAUUUGUUUUUGUGUGAAAGCAAGCUGACGUUGUCAGUGCACCGUCUCUCCUAAAGCAAACAUAUUUGCUCAUACUUUGGAUUAAAAUGCAUGCUGUUUCCGUUCACCAUUAAAGUACCGACUGUUUAAACACCUCGCCAUAUUUACCACUGUUCAGGUUUUCGCUCUUAAAUGUACAAAAAUAGUUGUUUUUAUUCCACAUGUCGACAUUAUUACAGAGAAAAUAAAGCUGUCUUCAAGAUUAA